GCCAGGAAAAAGAAAGAAAAACAAAACAAAACAGAAAAGGUCGAUCUUGCCUUGAAAGCGGGCAGUGGCUAUUUUCUUCUCUCUGCCAAAGCAGGACACGUUAUUCUUAACACAGAGGGCCACAUCGCUGUCCCUCACAAAUACUUCAGACAGUUGUCUUCAACAUCCUGUGGUUCUUCGUCCGAUUCCUUUUUUUUUUUGAGAUGGAGUCUCGCUCUGUCCCCCAGCCUGGGCCACAGAGUGAGAAUCCGUCUUAAAAAAAAAAAAAAAAAAAAAAGAAAAGAAAAAGAGAAACAGCUCAGGGGUGAAAACAGGAUGUGGGCAACAAAACAACACAGGAAGGAAACAGCAAGAGGAAAGGGAAGGAAGAAGAUGCAUCCAAGAACUGGUUAGAGUGCAAGGAAUUGGGAAGGAAAGAAAAAG
ensembl:lncRNA MYADM-AS2 MYADM antisense RNA 2